GCCGGAGGCGUCGGAAGCACAGCUGGAGAGGGACAUGCCGUCGAGGAGACGCGGCUUCAUUAAUUGGCUGCGGAGGCUCUGCCUGCUCUUGGUCGGCCUGCAGCUGGCCGUCGGC